rnacentral:rRNA from 1 species
UACGGAGGAUCCGAGCGUUAUCCGGAUUUAUUGGGUUUAAAGGGUGCGCAGGCGGGAGAUUAAGUCGGCGGUGAAAUUUUGCAGCUCGACUGUAAAAGUGCCUUCGAAACUGGUUUCCUUGAGUGUAGAUGAAGUAGGCGGAAUUUGUGGUGUAGCGGUGAAAUGCAUAGAUAUCACGAGGAACUCCGAUUGCGCAGGCAGCUUACUAAACUACUACUGACGCUCAGGCACGAAGGCGUGGGGAUCAAACAGGAUUAGAUACCCGGGGUAGU